rnacentral:rRNA from 1 species
GUAGGUGGCAAGCGUUGUCCGGAAUUAUUGGGCGUAAAGCGCGCGCAGGCGGUUUUUAAGCUGAUGUGAAAGCCCACGGGCUCAACCGUGGAGGGUCAUUGGAAACUGGAGAACUUGAGUACAGAAGAGGAAAGCGGAAUUCCACGUGUAGCGGUGAAAUGCGUAGAGAUGUGGAGGAACACCAGUGGCGAAGGCGGCUUUCUGGUCUGUAACUGACGCUGAGGCGCGAAAGCGUGGGGAGCAAACAGGAUUAGAUACCCUGGUAGUCCACGCCGUAAACGAUGAGUGCUAAGUGUUAGGGGGUUUCCGCCCCUUAGUGCUGCAGCUAACGCAUUAAGCACUCCGCCUGGGGAGUACGGCCGCAAAGGCUG